GAAGGGGCACUGAGUAACAAAUGGCCUUUCCGAGGGUGACACUGAGGAAGUCAUACCUACAUCUCCAUUCGUGGGCCUGUUUGAGUGAGCAAACCAUCCUUCUCCCAAGAGACAGAUCUCAGGUGUUCCACGGAAGAUAAUGAUUUAAAGAAUGAUAAUGGAUGCAACACAAUCUCUGAACAAGAUGGGAUGGAAUUUCCUGUUUGAAUCAAGGGGCAUGUGACUUCAGGGCAGUCACAUUAAGAAGG